AUUGAACGCUGGCGGCAGGCCUAACACAUGCAAGUCGAACGAGUGGCGGACGGGUGAGUAAUGUCUGGGAAACUGCCUGAUGGAGGGGGAUAACUACUGGAAACGGUAGCUAAUACCGCAUACCCUCAGAUGUGCCCAGACGGGAUGAGCUUGUUGGUGGGGUAACGGCUACACAAGGCGACGAUCCCUAGGUGGUCUGAGAGGAUGACCAGCCAAGCUGGAACUGAUACACGGUCAAGACUCCUACGUGAGGCAGCAGUGGGGAAUAUUGCACAAUGGGCGCAAGCCUGAUGCAGCCAUGCCGCUUGUAUGAAGAAAGCCUUCGGGUUGUAAAGUACUUUCAGCGGGGAGGCGUUACCCGCAGAAGAAGCACCGGCUAACUCCGUGCCAGCAGCCGCGGUAAUUC
rnacentral:rRNA from 1 species